GUGGGGAAUAUUGCGCAAUGGGGGAAACCCUGACGCAGCGACGCCGUGUGAGGGAAGAAGGCUUUCGGGUCGUAAACCUCUGUCAGAAAGGAAGAACCUCCCAAGUCCGAAUAGGGCUUGGGACUGACGGUACUUUCAAAGGAAGCACCGGCUAACUCCGUGCCAGCAGCCGCGGUAAUACGGAGGGUGCAAGCGUUAAUCGGAAUCACUGGGCGUAAAGCGCGCGUAGGCCGAUUUGUAAGUCGGACGUGAAAGCCCUCGGCUCAACCGGGGAACUGCGUUCGAUACUGCGAGGGUUGAGUCCUGGAGAGGGUGGCGGAAUUCCGGGUGUAGGAGUGAAAUCCGUAGAUAUCCGGAGGAACACCGGUGGCGAAGGCGGCCACCUGGACAGGUACUGACGCUGAGGCGCGAAAGCGUGGGGAGCAAACAGGAUUAGAUACCCUAGUAGUCC
rnacentral:rRNA from 1 species